rnacentral:rRNA from 1 species
AUUGAACGCUGGCGGCAGGCCUAACACAUGCAAGUCGAACGAGUGGCGGACGGGUGAGUAAUGUCUGGGAACCUGCCCGAUGGGGGGGGAUAACUACUGGAAACGGUAGCUAAUACCGCAUACCUUCACAUGUGCCCAGAUGGGAUUAGCAUGUUGGUGGGGUAACGGAGCACCAAGGCGACGACCCCUAGCUGGUCUGAGAGGAGGACCAGACACACUGGAACGGAGACAGGGUCCAGACUCCUACGGGAGGCAGCAGAGGGGAAUAUUGCACAAUGGGCGCAAGCCUGAUGCAGCCAUGCCGCGUGUAGGAAGAAGGCCUUCGGUUUGUAAAGUACGUUCAGCGGGGAGGCGUUACCCGCAGAAGAAGCACCGGCUAACUCCGUGCCAGCAGCCGCGGUAAUUC